UGGGGAAUAUUGCACAAUGCGCGCAAGCCUGAUGCAGCCAUGCCGCGUGUGUGAAGAAGGCCUUCGGGUUGUAAAGCACUUUCAGCGGGGAGGAAGGCGAUAAGGUUAAUAACCUUGUCGAUUGACGUUACCCGCAGAAGAAGCACCGGCUAACUCCGUGCCAGCAGCCGCGGUAAUACGGCGGGUGCAAGCGUUAAUCGGAAUUACUGGGCGUAAAGCGCACGCAGGCGGUCUGUCAAGUCGGAUGUGAAAUCCCCGGGCUCAACCUGGGAAGUGCAUUCGAAACUGGCAGGCUAGAGUCUUGUAGAGGGGGGUAGAAUUCCAGGUGGAGCGGUGAAAUGCGUAGAGAUCUGGAGGAAUACCGGUGGCGAAGGCGGCCACCUGGACAAAGACAGAAGCUCAGGUGCGAAAGAGUGGGGAGCAAACAGG
rnacentral:rRNA from 1 species